AAAUUUGAAUACCCAUUAAUUACAUACCAUCGUAUUCUUUCUGAUAUAAAAUUACUUUCUUUCCUCCAUCACAAAACGAGGCUGCGAUGGCCGGGAAUCGAACCCGGGUCAACUGCUUGGAAGGCAGCUAUGCUUACCACUAUACCACCAUCGCUGUAAACACAUCUGGAAUCAGGCUUCUGUUGAGUCGUCAGUUUAUAUGGGUGUAUACAAACAGCAGGAAGAGAAGAAGCAUGACCAAAAAUGUGUUUUGUUAGAAACCACAAGAUUGUUUAUCUUCUGUCAAAUCCUACUAAUCUUGCAGAGCUCCCUCACCAAAGUUUUGGGUUUUUUUGUUUUUGUUUUUUUUUGCCUGAAUGUGAGGAAUUAAUUGGGAUUCAGCAGGUGGAGGAACUCAAAGGUUGGUUGUAGUGGCUCAGCUCAGAGGGGAAAAGAAUCACUACUGAAUCAUUUCUAAUGUGAGCUUCAAGAGAUUUUCUUUGCAUACAAGCUGCGACCAGGCGUUUAGGUUCAAAUCACUUUGAUGUCUUAAGGCCUGCAGUGCUGGGGAAUUUAAACUUCCCUCAAAUAUGUUAAACAUAAGGUAACGGGCCUGCUGUGAAAAUGAAAGGAGUAAAAAGUACAGAUAUCCAUGUUAACAUUUAAGGAGUAAAAGUUAGAAGUUAUCAGAAAAAUAAAAAGUCAACGUGUAGGUACCUGAAAAUUCUACUUACGUACAGUAACUAAGUAUUUGUAUUUCGUUGCUUCCCACCUCUGAUGUCCAUGGGUUCUUGACUUCAAGUAGUCAUUGACUGCAAAGGAUUCCUAUCCUUAUGUUUAAAAUGACGUUAGUCUGUUUAAUUUGAGACUGAAACUGGGCGCUGUGUAUAUAAAAAUCGAUGUACUUCCUAGGGAUGUUAACCUGCUAUUGACAAUGUGAGUCAUUCCCAUCACCUGGCCGACAACUGAAACCUCUGUGAGACCUUGCCCCACCCCGCCAUCAUGUGAGCUGUUGAUGUCACAUAAAUGUGAAUAGACUUAAACAGUGGAUGCCGUAGACGUGUCCACAAAUGCAACACAGGAGGACAAGACUCAGAGGCACACCUGCAACACCUAAGAAAGGACACGCUUCCCAGGAUCCCAGUGUUCACAUUUUGGACAAUGACAAUUGGUUUAAGAGAACAGUAAAUGAGGCCGUGUAUGUCCACUAUGAUCGACCAUCUUUGUGGGUUAUGACACCUCCAAAGGGACAGCCCUCCCUAGAAAACUAGACAAAACUAGACAGUUGAUCUAUAAAUGACAAAGCCUCUUGGAUGAUAAGUGAAACAUCCUCAAAAUAUCUAAAGAAGUCAAAUUGCCUUCUUUUUAAGCUCUCAAUAUUACUGGCCAGUAAGAAGUAUUACUCACAGAUCAUCAGGUUCUGCACACUUAGUAAAACACCUUUUUUCCACCUUAAUCUUUCCAUGGCCAACUCAAUCACCUGAUAUCAGC
ensembl:lncRNA